rnacentral:rRNA from 1 species
GAUGAACGCUAGCGGCAGGCUUAAUACAUGCAAGUCGAGGGGCAGCAGGUCCCGCAGCAAUGCGGGAUACUGGCGACCGGCUAACGGGUGCGGAACACGUACAGAACCUUCCUUUAAGUGGGGAAUAGCCCGGGGAAACCCGGAUUAAUACCCCGUAGCAUAAUGAAGUGGCAUCACUUUAUUAUUAUAGCAGCAAUGCGCUUGAAGAUGGCUGUGCGGCUGAUUAGGUAGUUGGCGGGGUAACGGCCCACCAAGCCUACGAUCAGUAACUGGUGUGAGAGCACGACCAGUCACACGGGCACUGAGACACGGGCCCGACUCCUACGGGAGGCAGCAGUAAGGAAUAUUGGGCAAUGGACGCAAGUCUGACCCAGCCAUGCCGCGUGGAGGAUGAAGGUCCUCUGGAUUGUAAACUUCUUUUAUCUGGGAAGAAAUCUAUUUUUUCUAAAGUAGUUGACGGUACCAGAUGAAUAAGCACCGGCUAACUCCGUGCCAGCAGCCGCCGUAA